UAAAUUGUUCAACUAUGGAAA
rnacentral:piRNA from 1 species